UACGGGGGGGGCAAGCGUUGUUCGGAAUUACUGGGCGUAAAGGGCGCGUAGGCGGCCUGCUAAGUCGGAUGUGAAAUCCCUCGGCUCAACCGAGGAACUGCAUCCGAUACUGGCGGGCUUGAAUCCGGGAGAGGGAUGUGGAAUUCCAGGUGUAGCGGUGAAAUGCGUAGAUAUCUGGAGGAACACCGGUGGGCGAAGGCGGCAUCCUGGACCGGUAUUGGACGCUGAGGCGCGAAAGCUAGGGGAGCAAAC
rnacentral:rRNA from 1 species